CGGACGGGUGAGUAAUGUCUGGGAAACUGCCUGAUGGAGGGGGGUAACUACUGGAAACGGUAGCUAAUACCGCAUAACGUCGCAAGACCAAAGAGGGGGACCUCCGGGCCUCUUGCCAUCGGAUGUGCCCAGAUGGGAUUAGCUAGUAGGUGGGGUAACGGCUCACCUAGGCGACGAUCCCUAGCUGGUCUGAGAGGAUGACCAGCCACACUGGAACUGAGACACGGUCCAG
rnacentral:rRNA from 1 species